GGGACGAACGCUGGCGGCGUGCUUAACACAUGCAAGUCGAGCGAGGCCCCUCCUUCGGGAGGGAGCCCUAGCGGCGAACGGGUGAGUAACACGUGGGCAACCUGCCCCUAGCACUGGGAUAACUCCGGGAAACCGGGGCUAAAUACCGGAUAUGACCUCGGAAGGCAUCUUCUGUGGUGUAAAGGAUUCUGGCUAGGGAUGGGCCCGCGGCCUAUCAGCUUGUUGGUGGGUAACGCCUACCAAGGCGACGACGGUA
rnacentral:rRNA from 1 species